CAAAAACAUCGCCUCCCGCAAAAAUCAAUGUAUAGGAGGUCCUGCCUGCCCAGUGACUAUAAGUUAAACGGCCGCGGUAUUUUGACCGUGCAAAGGUAGCGCAAUCACUUGUCUUUUAAAUGAAGACCUGUAUGAAUGGUGGAACGAGGGCUUAACUGUCUCCCCCUUCUAGUCAAUGAAAUUGAUCUACCCGUGCAGAAGCGGAUAUAACAAUACAAGACGAGAAGACCCUUUGGAGCUUAAGAUAAAAAGCCAACUAUGUCAAAAGUCCUAAAAAAGACUAAACCAAAUAGUACUGGCCCUAAUCUUCGGUUGGGGUGACCACGGGAGAAAACAAAGCUCCCAUGCGGAUUGGGACAAAUCCCUAAAACUGAGAGAGACAUCUCUAAGACGCAGAACAUCUGACCAUAAAGAUCCGGCUACAUGCCGACCAACGGACCAAGUUACCCUAGGGAUAACAGCGCAAUCCCCUUCCAGAGUCCAUAUCGACAAGGGGGUUUACGACCUCGAUGUUGGAUCAGGACAUCCUAAUGGUGCAGCCGCUAUUAAGGGUUC
rnacentral:rRNA from 1 species